GAUGAAGAACGCAGCGAAUUGCGAUAUGUAAUGUGAAUUGCAGAAUUCAGUGAAUCAUCGAAUCUUUGAACGCACCUUGCACCCUCUGGUAUUCCGGAGGGUAUGCCUGUUUGAGUGUCAUUAACAUCUCAACGCUUGAUGGGUUCUUGUAACCCGUUCAGUGGUUGGACUUUGAAGGUUGCCGGUGUCAAAGCCAGCUCCUUUUAAAUGCAUGAGCAAGGACUAUUCCGAAUCGGCUUCGGUUUGAUAAAUUUGACUUAUCUGAUGCCGUCGCUGAGGAACUAUGGUCGACCUGCUUCUAAUUGUCUUCGGACUGUCUCCUUGUGAGGCAACUAUAUUGACUCUUGACCUCAAAUCAGGUAGGACUACCCGCUGAACUUAAGCAUAUCAAUAAGCGGAGGA
rnacentral:misc_RNA from 1 species